rnacentral:rRNA from 1 species
ACUCGAGUGGCGAACGGGUGAGUAACACGUGGGUGAUCUGCCCUGCACUUCGGGAUAAGCCCGGGAAACUGGGUCUAAUACCGGAUAGGAGCCAUUUUUAGUGUGAUGGUUGGAAAGUUUUUCGGUGUAGGAUGAGCUCGCGGCCUAUCAGCUUGUUGGUGGGGUAAUGGCCUACCAAGGCGGCGACGGGUAGCCGGCCUGAGAGGGUGGACGGCCACAUUGGGACUGAGAUACGGCCCAG